rnacentral:rRNA from 1 species
CGUGUAGGCGGGCCCGCAAGUCAGAAGUGAAAUCCCCGGGCUUAACCCGGGAACUGCUUCUGAAACUGCAGGCCUUGAGUACUGGAGAGGAAAGUGGAAUUCCUAGUGUAGCGGUGAAAUGCGUAGAUAUUAGGAGGAACACCAGUGGCGAAGGCGACUUUCUGGACAGAAACUGACGCUGAGGCGCGAAAGCGUGGGGAGCAAACA